rnacentral:tRNA from 1 species
GCCCUAAUAGCUUAAAUUUUAAAGCACUGGUCUUGUAAACCAGAGACUGAAGUUUUAAAUCUUCUUAAGGCU